CAGGACUUCAAUCCAAUUAGAAAGCAAUUGGUUGCACUCAUAACAAUUGUUCCACUAUUGUAUCACCAAGCACAUCUUGUGUGGCAGGCUGAUGUCAAUGUGCUGCCUGUGUACAAGCUGAGAAGGACCACUUGUAGCAAUUGGUGAGAAGUCUGCAUAGCACCUGGAGCUAUGAAAGCCAGCUAACAGGGAGGAAUCUUCCAGGCCAGCCCUUGACAGACUUACCAUACCCUGCAACAUAGCUUAUGGUGUAUUCAACAAUAAGGACUUACAUCUAGUUCUAAUGUGCAGUCAAUAACAAUGGCAGUUACCUUUGUGAUUUGUAAGGCAUCAGGAAUCUCCCUGGCCAUCAGCUACUAGAAAAAGAACAUCCCUAGGAACUGGGAUUUUCAUUCAAAAACAUUCUGAAUAUGCCUUUUCCCGCCACACAGUACCUUCAUCACUUAAACUCCAUAACUCUCUUUGUAGACCAAGCUGGCCUUAAACUCACCUCUGCUUCCCAAGUGCUGGGAUUGAAGGUGUGUGCCACCAAUGCCCAGCCUUUUUUUACAUUUAUAGACAUAGCCUGUUGUUGGGUUUCAAGAGGACAGCAACCCAGAGAAGAGUUCCACAGCAGCUACCCAACACCAAGACCUGCCAUCGACUGAAAACCUCACACUAGCCUGGUUCCCCAGCAAUCUCUUCUGGCAGGGUUACAGUCUGGCCCCAGAGGCUUCUGCUUCUAGAAGGUCCUGCUCAUGUACCCCAUCAACCCUGCCUCCUGUCCACCUCAGACACUGCUGCCUAACUGGCCUAACUGCUGCAAAAAGAGAGCAAGUGCCCCACCACUGCUCCAGCUCAACCUUGUGUGUCAACUGUGCAGCUAGCCAAAACCCUUGAUUACACACACCUCAUUCUUAAUUGAAAGUCUGGGCUUGGAAAGCCCCAGGCCAAUGCAACCUGAGUCUCUGACUUGUCAAGUAGAGUAGCUGAGUGUCUGUGCCCUUGAAAAGAAAGACUGUCAUCUGUCACCUUCCUCCCCUGACCCAGCUUCCUGAGUGCACUCCUGAGGAACAGCUGCAGAGAUCACCACUCCCAUAGCCUCGUGGGGCCUUGUAGGCCUCCCUGUCUCCACCCCUUCUUUGCUGAAACCAGGAGAGUAUAGAAACAGGAUGGCUGUCCCCCAUGGAAGGCAAUGAGCAAUAAAAGAACAAGGACACUUAACCUGGGGAAAGGAAAGCUGAUGAAAAAGUUUGGAUGGAAGAUGAAGAGGUCACCAUCCUCACCCUUGGGUCACUCUCCCACUUCAGCCUAUGCCUUCAUCUCAAGUUUGGGUAGAACCUUACAGUUCUGCCGCAUCCACUCACAGACACUCAGUAAAAAUGGCCCAGCAUGAGGGGAGGAGAGGACAAGAAGUCAAGCUGGAACUGAACUGGAAGCUUCCUCCCUGCUGGCAAAUUUUCCCAGUGCCAGAAGGUGUUAUACAGGCCACUGGGGGAGAAAAAUCAUCAGGGGUUACUCAUCUGUGAACCCUAUGUACUAUACUAGUAGUCUGUGAAGUCAUGAUGGCAUGAUUGUUACGAAGGUAACCAGCUGAUUCCAAUUUGAGCUGAGAUCUGCUCCGCAGGAGUUUGGACAUGGCACUGUGGACUUCAGCCUGUGGUCCUCACAUUGCACCUACUGCUUUUGUCUUGCUAAGUGGGAAUGUAGUCAAACUAGCUCCUAAAAAGUGGUGUUUGUACCCACAGCCGUGUAGCUUUCUGCCUUAUCAGAGAAGCUUCCUUUUACAGCAAAUAGCAAUUCAUGCAGAUUCAUUGCUGCUCAAGGUGCUGAGAAUAACGAGCUGUUAAGUGCUCAGCCCUAAAUGGAACAUAUAUAUGUUACCCUCUCCAAGACUCAGGGAACAUCACAGAAGCAGCAACAGAAAGAAUGUAGGAGCUGGAUGGUGCUGGCUGGGGAACUAAGAACACUCACUGCUCUUCCAAAGGACUUUAGUUCAGUUUCUAGAACCCCUGUCAAGAGACACAAUUAUCUCUUACUCCAGCUCCAGAGGGUCUUCUGGACUCCAUGAGCACUUGCACUCAAAUGCACACACCACAUACUAACACAUACACACAAUCCAAAACAAUGACACCAGGCAUGGUGGCGCUCACCUUUAAUCCCAGCACUCUGGAGGCAGAGGCAGGUGGAUCUCUGUGAGUUCAAGGCCAGCCUGGUCUACAGAACGAGUUCUAAGACAGCCAGGGCUACACAGAGAAACCCAGUCUUGCGCAGGGGGGUGGGUAUCUAGAUGAUGAUAAGGGCCAGGAAAUACUAUCUUCUGGGCAUGACUUGACUGUUGAAAUCAUGAACCCACACCCCCCAAGAUUGCCUACAUGGUGUCCGCACCAGACUGGUCUAACAACAUCUGGCCAUGAGUGAAGGAGGGGCUCACAGAGCCCUACCCCUCCCUGGGGAACUAUUGGCUGUUGAUCGGGGAGUGGGAAGCAUUAUCUUAGCUACUGGUAAGUUUCCCAUGCAGGUGGCUGUCCUUAAACUUUGAACCACAAGACAAAAGUCAGAGGAUACAUGGGGUCAAUGUAUCAGACUGAAUUAUAUACAUGAAUGAAACUGUGAACAAAUAAAA
rnacentral:lncRNA from 1 species